rnacentral:lncRNA from 1 species
AGCAGGUGUCAAGUUACUCUUUUGGUGGGAGAAGAGGCAUGUUGGGAACAAGAAGCCUGUCCUUGUUGGGAGAAGUCAUAUUUUAACAUGGAGGCUGCUGUUCCCUGUGGCAACCAUCUUAAGUUAGGGCUGCUGACAUUGCUACAGCACAAGGAAAGCCUGCUUAGGCCCAAUCCAUGGGACUGGGUAGCCAUGCCCUCCCCUGCCUAUACCACCACCAUCACGCCAACACAAGGAAGGCCUGCUUGGGCCCAAUCUGCAGGACCAGGUAGCCACGACCACCCCUGCCUGUUCUACCACCAUCGCUCCAGUGCAAGGAAGGUAGCUGCACGGACACCCCUAAUGACCCCCACCCCCCAUGCUCUCAGACCUUCUGAUUGUGGCAGUCUUUGGACUCACUCUGCAGAGGCAUAGGUUGUCAUAAAGGGUAUUUUUCUUAGCUCCCAAC